CACUCCUGCGGGAGGCAGCAGUGGGGAAUUUUGGACAAUGGGGGCAACCCUGAUCCAGCAAUGCCGUGUGAGUGAAGAAGGCCUUCGGGUUGUAAAGCUCUUUUGUCAGGGAAGAAACGGUGGUGGCGAAUAACUACUACUAAUGACGGUACCUGAAGAAUAAGCACCGGCUAACUACGUGCCAGCAGCCGCGGUAAUACGUAGGGUGCAAGCGUUAAUCGGAAUUACUGGGCGUAAAGCGUGUGCAGGCGGUUGUGUAAGUCAGAUGUGAAAUCCCCGGGCUCAACCUGGGAAUUGCAUUUGAGACUGCACGGCUAGAGUGUGUCAGAGGGGGGUAGAAUUCCACGUGUAGCAGUGAAAUGCGUAGAUAUGUGGAGGAAUACCGAUGGCGAAGGCAGCCCCCUGGGAUAACACUGACGCUCAUGCACGAAAGCGUGGGGAGCAAACAGGAUUAGAAACCCUUGUAGUCCC
rnacentral:rRNA from 1 species